rnacentral:rRNA from 1 species
GACGAACGCUGGCGGCGUGCUUAACACAUGCAAGUCGAACGGAAAGGCCCUGCUUUUGUGGGGUGCUCGAGUGGCGAACGGGUGAGUAACACGUGAGUAACCUGCCCUUGACUUUGGGAUAACUUCAGGAAACUGGGGCUAAUACCGGAUAGGAGCUCCUGCUGCAUGGUGGGGGUUGGAAAGUUUCGGCGGUUGGGGAUGGACUCGCGGCUUAUCAGCUUGUUGGUGGGGUAGUGGCUUACCAAGGCUUUGACGGGUAGCCGGCCUGAGAGGGUGACCGGCCAAAUGGGGAAGGAGAGACGGCCAAGACCCCAAGGGGGGGAAGAGGGGGGGAAAAUGGAAAAAGGGGGGGAAGCAGGAUGAAGAAACGCCGGGGGGGGGAGAACGGCCCUGGGGUGGUAAACGGUUUUGGCUUGGGACGAAGGGGGGGGGAGGGAAAUGGGGAAAGAAACACCGGAAAAAUAGGG